AACUUUGAGAGUUUGAUCCUGGCUCAGGACGAACGCUGGCGGCGUGCCUAAUACAUGCAAGUCGCGCGGACUUCUUCGGAAGUCAGCGGCGGACGGG
rnacentral:ncRNA from 1 species